rnacentral:rRNA from 1 species
AACGAACGCUGGCGGCGUGCUUAACACAUGCAAGUCGAACGCGAAAGGGACUUCGGUCCUGAGUAAAGUGGCGCACGGGUGAGUAACGCGUGGAUAAUCUGCCCAAUGGUCCGGGAUAACAUUUCGAAAGGGGUGCUAAUACCGGAUAAGACCACGAAGUCUUAGGACUUUGCGGUAAAAGGUGGGGACCUUCGGGCCUACCGCAAUUGGAUGAGUCCGCGUACCAUUAGCUAGUUGGUAGGGUAAAGGCCUACCAAGGCAACGAUGGUUAGCUGGUCUGAGAGGAUGAUCAGCCACACUGGAACUGAGACACGGUCCAGACUCCUACGGGUGGCAG